GCUUGAAAUUGUCGGGAGG
rnacentral:sRNA from 1 species